UGGGGAAUAUUGGACAAUGGGCGGAAGCCUGAUCCAGCAACGCCGCGUGAGGGAUGACGGCCUUCGGGUUGUAAACCUCUUUCAGUACCGACGAAGCGAAAGUGACGGUAGGUACAGAAGAAGGACCGGCCAACUACGUGCCAGCAGCCGCGGUAAUACGUAGGGUCCGAGCGUUGUCCGGAAUUAUUGGGCGUAAAGGGCUCGUAGGCGGUUUGUCGCGUCGGGAGUGAAAACAGCGGGCUUAACUCGUUGCUUGCUUUCGAUACGGGCAGACUAGAGGUAUGCAGGGGAGAAUGGAAUUCCUGGUGUAGUGGUGAAAUGCGCAGAUAUCAGGAGGAACACCGGUGGCGAAGGCGGUUCUCUGGGCAUUACCUGACGCUGAGGAGCGAAAGUGUGGGGAGCGAACAGGAUUAGAUACCCUGGUAGUCCACACCGUAAACGUUGGGCGCUAGGUGUGGGGUCCUUUCCACGGAUUCCGUGCCGUAGCUAACGCAUUAAGCGCCCCGCCUGGGAGUACGGCCGCAAGGCUAAAACUUAAAUGAAUUGAC
rnacentral:rRNA from 1 species